rnacentral:lncRNA from 1 species
CCCCAUUCGACUUCAGUCGUUCGAAGGGCUACAACAAAGAUACCAUAAAGGAAAUUGGACCUGAUUACGUCACCAAUAGCACGUUCCCGGAGUGUUUCUACGGAUAAGUCGAUUUAAUCGUCAAAGUAACAGAACUCAACAAUGGAUUUCGAACGCUCAACAAAUCUGUCCAAAGACGCCUUAGAAGAGGCAUUGACCACAAGCCUCAUACUGCCUACUCCUAGUUAACGGCUCCUUCAAUAAAAACGUGACAUGCAUUAAGGUCGUAUGAACAACAGUUAAGAGUGGAAAUGAACCAAGCAUGUGUAUCAACGUAUGAAGAAACAUUUCUCAAGUUAGUGGAUAAGGUGUCUGAAGGCUAUUUAGCUUACGACUCUAUAGCAAGCAAAAAUCCACAGGAGAACUAGGAGGCGUACGUCUAACUUUGUGAAAGGUUGGCGGACGUCUGCCAAUGCCGCUGGCGAGCAAUUGUCCCUGUGUUAUUAAGUCAAUUUCGAUGCGGUGCUUAUGUAAAGCAUUUAAGGCAGUGCGGCAUUGACGCAAAAAACACGGCGCAAAAAUGGCCUCCGGAGACAAGGGAGCUCGCUGCGGACUUUUCGGAUUUUAUCCUCGUUUUUUACAGGCAAGAUUUGAUCUUUACACGCAUUAAGCAUUGUAGAAAGCUU